rnacentral:lncRNA from 1 species
AUAUAUUAUAAAAGUAAAUGAACAACACAGAAGAACUUUUUUUUACAGACUAGAUACAAUCAAAGCAGAAAGCAUCUUUUCAGUGACACAGACACAGAAUACAGAGGAGAUGACAGCAAGACAGACAUCAGCUGGCUACAAAAAUCCAAAGCACCAUCUAAGCCACAGAUAAUUGAUUACAGUAGAAGUAAAAACUUAGAGAAAUCAAAAAGAAAGGGCAAAAAUAAGUUCUCUGAAUCCCCUUGCUGGAUGGAUACGCCCAAAGGCAAAACGGCAAAAAAGAAAAAGAAAUGUGUGAAUGAGAAGAACAAAGAUGGUAAUCAUCAGAAGGAUCUCCAGAAUUUGGAGGAGCCAAAGACAGUAGCAAACUGUGUAAAUAAAGCAUUUAUUAAAUCAAAGAACUCUACAGAACAAAAGGAAAUUGAAAUGUCUUCACCUGAGAGUCCUGCAUCUCUAGA